rnacentral:rRNA from 1 species
GAGCGAGCGUUAUCCGGAAUUAUUGGGUGUAAAGGGUGCGUAGACGGGAAAGCAAGUUAGUUGUGAAAUCCCUCGGCUUAACUGAGGAACUGCAACUAAAACUACUUUUCUUGAGUGCAGGAGAGGUAAGUGGAAUUCCUAGUGUAGCGGUGAAAUGCGUAGAUAUUAGGAGGAACACCAGUGGCGAAGGCGACUUACUGGACUGUAACUGACGUUGAGGCACGAAAGCAUGGGUAGCGAACA